rnacentral:rRNA from 1 species
UACGUAGGGUGCGAGCGUUGUCCGGAAUUAUUGGGCGUAAAGAGCUCGUAGGCGGUUUGUUGCGUCUAUCGUGAAAACCUGCAGCUUAACUGUGGGCUUGCGGUGGAUACGGGCAGACUUGAGUUCGGUAGGGGAGACUGGAAUUCCUGGUGUAGCGGUGAAAUGCGCAGAUAUCAGGAGGAACACCGGUGGCGAAGGCGGUUCUCUGGGACGGUACUGACGCUGAGACGCGAAAGCGUGGGGAGCGAACAGG